rnacentral:lncRNA from 1 species
UUAACUGACUCAAAAGGUGCUGUUGUAUCAAUAAGACCUCUCUUCAUUUCACCCUGCUUCGCAAGUUUAGGAGAACUGAUACCAUAUCUAGGAGAACCAAAUUGUUUAGGAGAACCAAAAACAUGCUUGGGGGAAUUGACAAGAUGUUUAGGAGAAUUCAAAACAUAUUUAGGAGAAUCACCAGAUUUAGGAGAAUCCAAAACAUGUUUAGGAGAAUUCAAAACAUAUUUAGGAGAAUCACCAGGUUUAGGAGAAUCCAAAACAUGUUUAGGAGAAUCGACAGUUCCUGGUGCUCUCACAGCAAUACUGGCCAGCUCUGUAUGGG